CUGCUGCCUCCCGUAGGAGUUUGGUCCGUGUCUCAGUACCAAUGUGGGGGGUUAACCUCUCAGUCCCCCUAUGUAUCGUCGCCUUGGUGAGCCGUUACCUCACCAACCAGCUAAUACAACGCAUGCCCAUCAUCAACCACCGGAGUUUUCAACCCCAUGCGAUGCCGCAUGAGAUAUUAUGGGGUAUUAGUACCAAUUUCUCAGUGUUAUCCCCCUGUUGAUGGUAGGUUGCGUA
rnacentral:rRNA from 1 species